ACGUACACUCCUGCGGGAGGCAGCAGUGGGGAAUAUUGCACAAUGGGCGCAAGCCUGAUGCAGCCAUGCCGCGUGUAUGAAGAAGGCCUUCGGGUUGUAAAGUGCUUUCAGCGGGGAGGAAGGCGAUAAGGUUAAUAACCUUGUCGAUUGACGUUACCCGCAGAAGAAGCACCGGCUAACUCCGUGCCAGCAGCCGCGGUAAUACGGAGGGUGCAAGCGUUAAUCGGAAUUACUGGGCGUAAAGCGCACGCAGGCGGUCUGUCAAGUCGGAUGUGAAAUCCCCGGGCUCAACCUGGGAACUGCAUUCGAAACUGGCAGGCUAGAGUCUUGUAGAGGGGGGUAGAAUUCCAGGUGUAGCGGUGAAAUGCGUAGAGAUCUGGAGGAAUACCGGUGGCGAAGGCGGCCCCCUGGACAAAGACUGACGCUCAGGUGCGAAAGCGUGGGGAGCAAACAGGAUUAGAAACCCUUGUAGUCCCAU
rnacentral:rRNA from 1 species